UACGAAGGGGGCUAGCGUUGCUCGGAAUUACUGGGCGUAAAGCGCACGUAGGCGGAUAUUUAAGUCAGGGGUGAAAUCCCGGGGCUCAACCCCGGAACUGCCUUUGAUACUGGGUAUCUAGAGUCCGGAAGAGGUGAGUGGAAUUCCGAGUGUAGAGGUGAAAUUCGUAGAUAUUCGGAGGAACAUCAGUGGCGAAGGCGGCUCACUGGUCCGGUACUGACGCUGAGGUGCGAAAGCCAGGGAGCGAACGGG
rnacentral:rRNA from 1 species